UCAUGGUGGAAGGCAAAGGAGAAGCAAAGACACGUCUUACAUGGCAGCAGGUCUAAGUUGAUCAGCUGAUGGAGAGAAAACGCAACACACCCUUAAUAGGGGGCUGGCAAUGGAGCAUGGAACUGUCAGCCACGGCAGUGCUGAAAUAGGGAGGACUGAAGGUAGCAGAAUAUUGGCGUGUAGCGCUACUCAAAACAUAGAAAGCAGAAAUAAAUCAAUUCUGCCUGGAGGACCUCCUCCAUCUCAACACCCAGUGGUUUUGACAGAAUUGAUAUAGAAAUAGAAACUUCAAGAUCCACAUCUGUGCUUUUCCAUCCCUGCCCUGGUGCUGGAAUGCCAACCUGUACAGACUGCAUAGUUCCUCUUGCUCUCCAGCUUCUAGAUGGAUUCAACCACUGGGAGGCAUCAGCAGAAGUCAGAGAAGAGGGUAAAAUGCAGUCCAGGUGUUUCGUCUGCUGGCUCUUUCCCUGCCAAGUCACCGUGGGUUCAAGGAGUACACGUGCAAUCUACAUGGGCAAAUCACAUAUCACAGGGGCUUGAUGUACAGAUAAUUUUGUCACCCAGGUAAUAAGUAUAGAACCCAAUAGAUGGUUUUUGAAUCCUCAUGCUCCGCCGACCUUCCACGCUCAAGAUGGCCCUGGUGUCUAUCAUUCUUUACUUUGUGGUCGUGUGUGUACUCAGUGUUUAGGCACUUAUAAAUGAGAACACAACAUGUUUGGUUUUCUGUUCUUGUGUUAA